CAAGUUCAAAGUCACGUCGCCGUCCCUCCUAAGAAGUGCUUUAUUUGCCUCUGAACCGCAAAACCCCUUUCCCCCAUGUCACAGGGUUUCUGGAGGUGCCAGACCUGCAGAGCAAACGUCAGCCUUCCCGGGAAAGCUUUCUCGUCUUUGUAAGUUUUCCGAAAUUCGCUUUAAAACUGCUCUUCUCUUGUUCUUACCGGCUGGUGAUGCGGAAGGAGCUGGGGGGGGAGUGUGGAGGGGGGGAGGUGGGACGAGGAGAGAGCAAUUUCUUGCUUCCCCUGGACUGUAUAUACCGUCUUCCCCUUCUAGCUCCUUUUCCCGAGAGGUGUCACCGCCCUCAGGGGAGGCUCCGGGCCCCUUUUCUCCAUCCCCCCCUCCCUGGGAGCCGUGGGUGCCGCAGUGGGGGCGUAGGACUCUGCCCAUGGGAGGACGCGGGUGGCGAUGGCCUCGUCGGGAAAAAGAGGCGGAAGGACCCACAGGAGACGGGUGUGUUCGUGUGUGUGCGUAUGAGAGAGAAAGGGAAAGGGGGAAGAGGGUGUCUUUCCCCCAAAAGUCAGCCUUCCCACGGAGUAAGGGGAGGAGGUGCGGGGCAAGGAGGGGGAGUGCGGCUGGCCCGCAGCCUGGGGAGAAGAGGCCAGUUGAGCGGCAUCACUUGCACCGUUGUCUGUAUCACAGACAAUCAUAAAUUCAACAAGCUCAUCAACAGGAUAUUAAGUUGCAGGUUACCUUUGAUGGUGCCGAUCCGAGCCACUUCUAGGCCGUUCGACCUAUGACCCGUGAAGACCACAUGUGUUGUGCUGUAGCCUCCCUCUGUAAAACACACACUUCGAGACAAAAGUUCUUUGUCAGGGUCUACCGGCAAAGUAAUGUAAAAGAAAAAGGGGAAAUAAUGAAAAUCUCAGCCAAAGCUGUAACUUUUAAAUGCUUCUUAAAAAAAUAAAAAAGAAAGAAAAAAUAAAAGAAAAAUACGAUAGGCAGGGCAGGGACAGGAGGAAGGAGCACCUCGCUUUCGUGCCAUGAAUAUUUAUUGUUCCUUCAGUUGCACUUAUAUAUAUAUGUAUAAAACCCCGCUCUCGGCGGUAAUGCCGUGAGAUGGGGGGGGGGGGGGGGGAGGGGGGGGGAGGGGGGGGGGGGCGCGAGGAGCACUGUAGCGCUUUUUUCCAGGACGGAAACCUCCGACGCCUCUGCCCUGCCCCGCUGCGGCUGAGGGAUGCGCAGAGACGCGUAUUUUGCGCGCCCUGCCCCGCUGCGCCGCUCAUUCUGCAGCCAGCACAGACCCGGCGCAACGCCCCCAAAAUGGGGUCUGCUGCAGCACUGCCGGGUUUUAUUAGAUGCACCUUUUUCCAUCUGGAGAUGCCCAUAUAAACGUUAGAGGCAGGGGAGAAGCGUCCCAAUAAAGCGCGAUGGACUUUGUAAUACAAUUUAUGCUGUCAUUCAUAAAUAACAAUGCCAUAUGGUAACCAUAUUGCUUAUACAAGUAAAGCCGUCAAAGUGUCA